rnacentral:rRNA from 1 species
AAGUUAGCGGCGGACGGGUGAGUAACACGUGGGUAACCUGCCCAUAAGACUGGGAUAACUCCGGGAAACCGGGGCUAAUACCGGAUAACAUUUUGAACUGCAUGGUUCGAAAUUGAAAGGCGGCUUCGGCUGUCACUUAUGGAUGGACCCGCGUCGCAUUAGCUAGUUGGUGAGGUAACGGCUCACCAAGGCAACGAUGCGUAGCCGACCUGAGAGGGUGAUCGGCCACACUGGGACUGAGACACGGCCCAGACUCCUACGGGAGGCAGCAGUAGGGAAUCUUCCGCAAUGGACGAAAGUCUGACGGAGCAACGCCGCGUGAGUGAUGAAGGCUUUCGGGUCGUAAAACUCUGUUGUUAGGGAAGAACAAGUGCUAGUUGAAUAAGCUGGCACCUUGACGGUACCUAACCAGAAAGCCACGGCUAACUACGUGCCAGCAGCCGCGGUAAUACGUAGGUGGCAAGCGUUAUCCGGAAUUAUUGGGCGUAAAGCGCGCGCAGGUGGUUUCUUAAGUCUGAUGUGAAAGCCCACGGCUCAACCGUGGAGGGUCAUUGGAAACUGGGAGACUUGAGUGCAGAAGAGGAAAGUGGAAUUCCAUGUGUAGCGGUGAAAUGCGUAGAGAUAUGGAGGAACACCAGUGGCGAAGGCGACUUUCUGGUCUGUAACUGACACUGAG